rnacentral:rRNA from 1 species
CAGCCGCCGCGGGAAUACGUAGGUGGCAAGCGUUGUCCGGAAUUAUUGGGCGUAAAGGGCUCGCAGGCGGUUUCUUAAGUCUGAUGUGAAAGCCCCCGGCUCAACCGGGGAGGGUCAUUGGAAACUGGGAAACUUGAGUGCAGAAGAGGAGAGUGGAAUUUCACGUGUAGCGGUGAGAUGCGUAGAGAUGUGGAGGAACACCAGUGGCGAAGGCGACUCUCUGGCCUGUAACUGACGCUGAGGAGCGAAAGCGUGGGGAGCGAACAGGAUUAGAUACCCGAGUAGUCCCUGUCUCUUAUAC